rnacentral:rRNA from 1 species
CCUACGGGGUGCACCAGUGGGGAAUAUUGCACAAUGGGGGAAACCCUGAUGCAGCAACGCCGCGUGAGUGAUGACGGCCUUCGGGUUGUAAAGCUCUGUCUUCAGGGACGAUAAUGACGGUACCUGAGGAGGAAGCCACGGCUAACUACGUGCCAGCAGCCGCGGUAAUACGUAGGUGGCGAGCGUUGUCCGGAUUUACUGGGCGUAAAGGGAGCGUAGGUGGACUUUUAAGUGAGAUGUGAAAUACCCGGGCUCAACUUGGGUGCUGCAUUUCAAACUGGAAGUCUAGAGUGCAGGAGAGGAGAAUGGAAUUCCUAGUGUAGCGGUGAAAUGCGUAGAGAUUAGGAAGAACACCAGUGGCGAAGGCCAGUCUCUGGACUGUAACUGACGCUGAGGCUCGAAAGCGUGGGGAGCAAACAGGAUUAGAUACCCUUGUAGUC